ensembl:lncRNA
GGGGGCUGCGAUAUUUGAGGGUGGUCCUGGAAUUUUGGGGGUUCCCGGACCUUUUUGGGGGGCUGCUGGAUAUAGAGGGGGUCCCAGAUUUUGGGAUGUCCUUGAUUUAAUGGAUCCCGGAUUUUGGGGUGUCCCGGAUUUUGGGGUGUCCCCGAUUUUGGGGUCCCUGAUUUUGGCCAGUCCCGAAUUUUGGGGGUUCCAGAUUUUGGGGGUCCAGGAUUUUGGGGGUCCCUGGGUUUUGGGGAGUCCUGGAUUUUGGGUCCUCAAUUUUAGGGUCCUGGAUUUUGGGGGGUCCCGGAUUUUGGGGGUCUUGGAUUUUGGGAGGUCCUGGAUUUUCGAAUGUCCCAGAUUUUUGGGGAUCCCGAAUUUUGCGGCUUCCAGAUUUUUGGGGUGUCCCUGAUUUUGGGAUGUCUUGGAUUUGGGUGGGUCCCAAAUUUUGGGUGUCCUGAAUUUUGGCUGUUCCUGAUUUUGGGGGUUCCAGAUUUUGGGGUUUCCGGAUUUUUUGGGGGAUCACGGGUUUUGGGGGGUGGCCCCAUAUUUUGGGGGAGCCCAGUAUUUUUGGGGGGGUCCCGGAUUUUGGAGGUUCCCGAUUCGGGAUGUCCCAAUUUUGGCAGGUCCCGAAUUUGGGGGGUUCCAGAUUUUGGGGUGUCCCGGAUUUUGGGUCCUCGGUUUUGGGUUGUCCUGGAUUUGGGAUGUCCCAGAUUUGGGGGGUCCCAGAUUUUAGGGGUUUGAGAUUUUGGGGUGUCCCUGAUUUUGGGGUCCCGGAUUUUGGGGGCAUCCACGAUUUUGGGUGGUCUCAGAUUUGGGGGUCCCGGAUUGUGGGGUGUCCUGGAUUUUUCGGUGUCCCAGAUUUGGGGGUGCAGCAUUUGGGGGGGGUCUCUCACCCUGUGCCCCCCCAAACGGGCGGCAGGCAGGGCCAGGGGCGCCUGGUGCCCGUGGGCAGAGUGAGCCAGGCAGCGACCAUGGCCGGCACCGGUAAGGGAAGCCCUGCGAAUGCCCCGAGUGCGGGAAGAGCUUCGUGCACUGCUCCAGCUCCAUCCCCCACUGCAGGAACCACUUUGGGCACAGCCCUGGUCACCCACAUUCCCUGUGAUCCAUGUUGGGAACACACCUGGCUGCUUCUCCUUUUGGUUUGGCCUUAAUUUUUUUAUCUUCUCAGUCUCUCUGCAAUCCAAAAGCCAAGAGGGAUUCAUCUGUCACCUCAAAACGACACUAAUCCCACUGAAAACAGUCAGUCUUUUCUCAAAAGGGCUCAAUCCACCUCAAAAAAACUCAAUCCUACGCCAAACUCACUCGAUUCCACAGCCAGCAGAUUCUGUUUGCAGAGUGCCGCCUCCCAGAGUGUCCCCUCAGAGCUGCCGCCCUUGGCCUGAGCCCGCCCCUUUCCCCUCACGGUUCCGCCAUUUCCUCGCUCCCUUUCCCCUCUCGGUUCCACCCUUUCCUCGCCCCCUUUCCCCUCACGGUUCCCGCCCUUUCCUCGCUCCCUUUCCCCUCUCGGUUCCGCCCUUUCCUCGCCCCUUUCCCCUCUCGGUUCCGCCCUUUCCUCGCUCCCUUUCCCCUCACGGUUCCGCCUUCCUCGCUCCCUUUCCCCUCACCGGUUCCGCCCUUUCCUCGCCCCCUUUCCCCUCACGGUUCCCGCCCUUUCCUCACCCCCUUUCCCCUCACAAUUCGGCCUUUGUGAACGGGUGAGGAAGAGGAGGGAGGGAGGAAGAGGCCGAGCGGCCGCAGCAGAAGAGCAGAGGGCCAAUCUCAUGGCCCUGGCGCUCCCUGAAUGGCCGCAGCCCCGGGACCAUCGCCCCCCAUCCCUCAG